rnacentral:rRNA from 1 species
GUAAUGCUUGGGAAUCUGGCUUAUGGAGGGGGAUAACGACGGGAAACUGUCGCUAAUACCGCGUAGUGUCGAGAGACGAAAGUGCGGGACCGCAAGGCCGCAUGCCAUGAGAUGAGCCCAAGUGGGAUUAGGUAGUUGGUGGGGUAAAGGCCUACCAAGCCUGCGAUCUCUAGCUGGUCUGAGAGGAUGGCCAGCCACACUGGAACUGAGACACGGUCCAG